UUGACAGCAUCUGAAGACUGAAGACUUCUUUUUAUCCACAGAGUAGCUAAAAUGUGGGUAGUAGCAGUGCAAGCUACUCUGCAAGUGAAUGUGUAAAACUGACUCCUUCUUACUGAAAGAUUUGUUCUCUGAGUGUAUCAGAGCUAUUACUGCU
rnacentral:sRNA from 1 species